rnacentral:lncRNA from 1 species
GACAGAGACAGCUUCUUGGAACUGGGAACCUCGAUUCUACAACUAAAGGAAGUGAAAAAUGCCAACAAUCCUGUGAUCUUCGGAGGGCACCCAGGACUUCAGAUGAGACACCAUGAUUGCUGCCUUGGAAGACCCUGCCAGAAGAAUCGGUUAAGGAGAUCUGUCCAAUGAUGACAAUGAGGUGUUGAAUUCUUCAGCUAUUAUUGUAUUGAGGUAUUGAGGAAAGUAAAAGGUACAUUUGUUUCAUUGAGUCAGACAAUGGAGGUGAAGCUGUUAAGAAAAAAUAAACUCCAUACAAGGUUGCAUACUUCCUGCUCAUCUACUCUUUCCAGACUUCCUUCCAUGGAGCUCCUCUUUUGCCUCCUAGCAGCGGGACUGACAGCCGGUGUUACACACUUUGAUGGCACUAACUGCAUGUUAGAAUUGUGUGGCAAAGAACUGAAGGCAUCAGUCCAAAAGCCCAAAGAACUAAAUACCGCCAACAACCCCAUGAACUUGGAAGUGGGUCCUUUCCCAGUGAGCUCUGGAGAUGACAAAAGACAGACAACACCUUGAUUGUAGUCUGUGAGAAAACCUGAAGCAGAAGACCCAGCUAACUUGUGCUCAGAUUCCUGACCAAUACAAAUUGUGAGACAAAUGUGUAAUUUUUUAAGCCAAGUUUUUGAUAAUGUAAUAUGAAGUGAUAGAUAACUAAUACAAAAUAGAGAACUGGAUACAUAUGUUCACGAGCUAUUCUGGCAUAAAAAUACAUUCAAUAAAAAACUUGUUGCUACUCUGUAUUUCCCUCAUCUCAUUGACAUCAUCCUAUCCUUUAUCUUUCAUAUAAAUAUCUGUGUAAAAUUUGUCAACAAAUGGUGUGAAAAUGAAGAGAAAGCAGAACAGUAGAAAUAAAAGAGGACUUGUUUA